GACGAACGUUGGCGGCGUGCUUAAUACAUGCAAGUCAACUGAAGCAGUGGUAGCAAUAUCGCUGUGGAGGUGGCGCACGGGUGAGUAACACGUAGGUAAUCUGCCUUCAGGUCUGGCAUAACUCCGGGAAACCGGGGCUAAUAGCAGAUGAUGCAGCGGCUCGACAUCGAGACAGUUGUUAAAGCUAUGGCGCCUGAAGAUGAGCCUGCGUCUGAUUAGCUAGUUGGCGGGGUAACGGCCCACCAAGGCAACGAUCAGUAGCUGGUCUGAGAGGAUGAUCAGCCACACUGGAACUGAGACACGGUCCAGACUCCUACGGGAGGCAGCAGUAAGGAAUAUUGCUCAAUGGGAGAAAUCCUGAAGCAGCAACGCCGCGUGAGGGACGAAGGGCUUUUGCUUGUAAACCUCUGUAGUGAGGGAAAAAAAUCCCAAUCUUUGGGACAUGAUGGUAUCUCAAAAGUAAGCCCCGGCUAACUACGUG
rnacentral:rRNA from 1 species